rnacentral:rRNA from 1 species
UACGGAGGGUGCAAGCGUUAAUCGGAAUUACUGGGCGUAAAGCGCACGCAGGCGGUCUGUCAAGUCAGAUGUGAAAUCCCCGGGCUCAACCUGGGAACUGCAUUUGAAACUGUCAGACUAGAGUCUUGUAGAGGGGGGUAGAAUUCCAGGUGUAGCGGUGAAAUGCGUAGAGAUCUGGAGGAAUACCGGUGGCGAAGGCGGCCCCCUGGACAAAGACUGACGCUCAGGUGCGAAAGCGUGGGGAGCAAACAGG